rnacentral:rRNA from 1 species
UUGCAUAUCAAUAAGCGGAGGAAAAGAAACCAACAGGGAUUGCCCUAGUAACGGCGAGUGAAGCGGCAACAGCUCAAAUUUGAAAGCUAGCCUUCGGGUUCGCAUUGUAAUUUGUAGAGGAUGAUUUGGGGAAGCCGCCUGUCUAAGUUCCUUGGAACAGGACGUCAUAGAGGGUGAGAAUCCCGUAUGUGACAGGAAAUGGCACCCUAUGUAAAUCUCCUUCGACGAGUCGAGUUGUUUGGGAAUGCAGCUCUAAAUGGGAGGUAAAUUUCUUCUAAAGCUAAAUAUUGGCGAGAGACCGAUAGCGCACAAGUAGAGUGAUCGAAAGAUGAAAAGCACUUUGGAAAGAGAGUUAAAAAGCACGUGAAAUUGUUGAAAGGGAAGCGCUUGCAAUCAGACUUGUUUAAACUGUUCGGCCGGUCUUCUGACCGGUUUACUCAGUUUGGACAGGCCAGCAUCAGUUUCGGCGGCCGGAUAAAGGCUCUGGGAAUGUGGCCUCCACUUCGGUGGAGGUGUUAUAGCCCAGGGUGUAAUACGGCCAGCCGGGACUGAGUGCCGCGCUCGGCUAGGAUGCGGCGAAG